CAGGGAAAGGAAAUUUUCCUCUCCCGAUCCGCCGCUCUCUCGCGCAAAAGCGGCGACCAAGAGCGGGCGCCGCCGUGCCUCCUCCGGCACAGAAACGCGGCGGUGACGCGGCGGCGCCUCAGCAGCACGGGCGCACAGCACCGGUGGAGGACCGGGGAGAGAUCCAAGGCGGCGCGACGCACUGGCGGAGGAGGCGUUGAGGCGCAGAUCCAAGGCAGCAAAGAAUUUGGUUUGUUUCUUGAUUUGGUUUGUUUCUCCACGCGCGCAAAGAAUUCUUGCUCUGUUAGUUUCUUCCCCGCUGCAACUCACCAGUCCAUUGUGGUACUUGUGCUUGGAACUCAGAGCCCACUGGUAUUUUGUUCCUCUGCUGACUCGUAA
rnacentral:lncRNA from 1 species